CCAACUCACACUCAUACGACAGGAAUUAUCCUCUAAACCUCUUGACGCCUAUUCUUCAAGUAGAAACUGCGAGCUAGUGGGAGAGAUCAUAGCCUUGGAUGUAUGGUUUUCAAAUGUGGGUCAUAUUGGAUGGCAUGUAGGCAUGUAGCUUCCAUUGGAGCUACAGGCGCUGAGAGAGUAAGAAAGUUAGGUCGGUGGUGAGCUCUAUUUUUCCGGUGGUUUGUCUGCGGUUCCUUUUGACAUUCUCGGUGGUUCUGUUGACGAUUGGGUUAUUGUGUUAUUCUGCUGGCUACUAGGGGAAAAGGAUUAGAGUCAUGUUGGUUCGUGAGAGCUCUAUCUUUCCGGCGGACGUUUUUAUCUUCCUUCCAGGGGUUGGGUCGAAACUCGGCUAAGCGGGAAAUCUGCUCUUUGGCUAUGAAAUAUCGCCCUCUUUUGAUGUUUCUUUCUGAGACAAAAGCACCUGAUAGCUCAUUUCACAAUUUCUGCUAAUCUGCAUCCUUUGAUUAUUUUAUCUGUUCAAAUGCAGAAAGGGGGGUGGAGGUCUUCUACUUCUAUGGAAGGAUUUGGUUCAGGUUGACAUCCUCUGGCAUUCUAAUUGGUGUAUUCAUUCAAAUAUUUUUAUUCCUUCUGAGAAUCAACAAUGGACAUUUACCUUUGUUUAUCUGAGUGGCAAUCCUGCAGCUCGUCCUUCUCAAUGGAAUUCCUUAAAGCAAAUGAGAUCUUUUAUAUCUACUCCAUGGCUUUUGGUGGGCGAUUGGAAUUCCUACAUAUCAACUACAGACAAAAGGGGAGGCAACGCAAUUCGACCACAUUAGCUUGUUGCAUUCAACGACUUUAUGGAUUAUGCUGCUCUUAUGGAUCUUCCUAUCAAGGCCUUCCUUACACUUGGGACAAAAGACAAUGGGGGGCAAAUCGUAUUGAAGCAAGAUUGGAUUGAUUCAUUUCAACGGCUGAUUGGAGAGCAUCAUUCCCAAAUGCCUGUGUCACUCAUGAAUUGGUUACUACCUCUGAUCAUAAAGCUCUAAUUUUAUCUGUAGAUAAAAUUAAUCACUGGACUCUUAAGGCCAUUCAAAUUCGAAGCCUGCUGGAUUCUUGAACCAACUUUGUAUGCAACUGUGGAGAGUUCUUGGAAUUUUCCUACCACAGGAUCUCCAUCUCAUUGUUUAUACAUGAAAUUCUUAAAACUGCAAAGAGAGUUAAAGAGCUGGAAUUGUUUUGUGGUUGGAGAUUUUCAGAGGAAAGAGGACUCUAUACGAUAAUUCUUACAUUCUCUCUACAAUUUAGAACCCCAAUUUCGUGAUGAAAGGUGGUACCAAUCGGAGCAAUAUCAUAUAUCUCUUUUGAAGCGAGUAAUUUACCAGCAAGAAAUUCUUUGGUUUAAAAAAUCCAAGUAUUUUCAUUUCUCAACAAUCCAGAGGAGGGCUCGCAGUCAGAUUCGAAGUAUCAAUCAUGGAGGAAUGGUUCUUUUUGAUUGGGAGUCCAUGGCAGAGGCCAUUAAUUCACAUUUUCGUCAUAUUUAUAUGGCUUCAAUUCAGCAUGUAGAUGACAGCUUCUUUACUCAUAUUAGAGGGCGAGUCACUGCAGAGGAAAAUGCAACUUUGAUGAGGCCCGUUUCAGCUAAAGAAAUGUUCAAGACUGUUAUGCAUAUGCCUUCAACAAAGUCUUCAGGACCAGAUAGGUUCUUAGGGAUUUUCUUCCAAAAGGUAUGGCCGACUAUUGGUGCUGAUAUCAUUUCCUGCAUUCAGAAUUUCUUGAGUACGGGUAAAAGCUUGAAUCAGAUAUGUAUCACAUUAAUGCCUAAGGUUGAGUAUCCUUCUGCAUUAGGAGACUAUAGACCUAUCAGUUUAUGCAAUUUCACAUGUAAAAUCAUUUCUCUUAUUUUGGUAACUCGUCUUCAACC